rnacentral:rRNA from 1 species
UACGUAGGGCGCAAGCGUUAUCCGGAAUUAUUGGGCGUAAAGAGCUCGUAGGCGGUUUGUCGCGUCUGCCGUGAAAGUCCGGGGCUCAACUCCGGAUCUGCGGUGGGUACGGGCAGACUAGAGUGAUGUAGGGGAGACUGGAAUUCCUGGUGUAGCGGUGAAAUGCGCAGAUAUCAGGAGGAACACCCGUGGCUAAGGCGGUUCUCUAGUACGGUACUGACGCUGAGACGCGAAAGCCGUGGGGAGCGAACGG